rnacentral:rRNA from 1 species
GAUGAACGCUGGCGGCGUGCCUAAUACAUGCAAGUCGAGCGAACGGACGAGAAGCUUGCUUCUCUGAUGUUAGCGGCGGACGGGUGAGUAACACGUGGAUAACCUACCUAUAAGACUGGGAUAACUUCGGGAAACCGGAGCUAAUACCGGAUAAUAUUUUGAACCGCAUGGUUCAAAAGUGAAAGACGGUCUUGCUGUCACUUAUAGAUGGAUCCGCGCUGCAUUAGCUAGUUGGUAAGGUAACGGCUUACCAAGGCAACGAUGCAUAGCCGACCUGAGAGGGUGAUAGGCCGCACUGGAACUGAGACACGGUCCAGGGUCCUAAGGGAGGCAGCAGUAGGGAAUCUUCCGCAAUGGGCGGAAACCUGGCGGAGCAACGCCGCGUGAGUGAUGAAGGUCUUCGGAUCGUAAAACUCUGUUAUUAGGGAAGAACAUAUGUCUAAGUAAAUGUGCACAUCUUGACGGUACCUAAUCAGAAAGCCACGGCUAACUACGUG